GGAGAGCGGCAAGAGAGGGCGGAACAAUGAAGGUCUCAGGCCGUCAGAGGCGCACGAUUCCGGCGGCACGUCCGUCCCGCCCGCCUCCGGCCAGCAGCUGCACGCUGCGCAGCGUGUGGGCGCUGAGUCACGGUCCCAGAACAGGGAGCCGCCGUGCAGGUCUGGGGGGGGCCGGCCCUGGUUGGCAUCUGCAAACUGUUUUUUUCUUUCCUCUCUCAUUAGGGCUGUGUGCUGACUCCCACGUAGGAGGACUUAUUAAACCGCACGUACCGCCUGACGGCCCUCGGGUCGUUCCCCGGCUGCCGGCUGGGGGCGCCACAGCCUCGCUGAUGAGCCCGCCGGCUGGCUGGGGCACCAGGCCGGCAGAAGAUUGGGGUUACUGGCGUGGCUGCCGGAUUCCCGGAGCAGUGCGAACAUUUUGCUGGAGUAGCUUCUAACUUUUACACCGCGGCAGCCCGGGACAACUCCUCACUUAGAAGACCUCGGAGACCACCCUAACUCUCCGAGGUACAAGCACUGAGGAAGGAGCUGCUUGCGACUCACUUCUUUCGGAACUCUGACGCCACGUCGAGCCGUGCAGUGUCCGCGCCCAAGAAGGCCAGGGAGCCCAGGUACAUGAGGGCGACGGGAACCAGCUUCAUGCCGGCGGCGAUGUGCAAACCCUGGAAGGAGAGAGAGGGGCCGAGCGUGAGCACCCCGCCUGUAGCACUGCCCGGGCGGGGCACGGAGGACGUGUGGGGGCCCCCCGCUCGGGCAGGCUCAGCCCGCGCUCUGCCUGGCUCAGACGCUUAUCUCGCCCGGGCGCAGAGAGGCGCCAGCUGCAUUUGCACCCGCCGGGCGGGUGACGGGCCCCUCAGAGGAGGCCUUUACCCAGCGCCAGGCUCCCAGAGGUUCCCUGCCCAACUUCUCGUUAUUUGGCUGGCGGAGUAGAAGGGAGUGGGUCUCUGCAGUUCCAGCUGUGUGCACGGCUGGACCCAGGAUAUAGGACGCAACCCGCGAAGGACCUUCCAAAAUGGGCUGUACCCCUCACCCAGCACUCCCAGUUUCCAGCACUCUAAAGUCCCUCCCCCCACUACCCGCCCUCCCACCCCCCCCCACCCCCGCUAACCCGCCCCGCCUGUGGCGCCUACCUGCUGAGGGGGUGAUCUGCCAAGGUCUGGGAGGUGAAGUCUGAGACGUCGCUCUGGCACUGGCAAAACCCCACCGUCCAAGCCGCGGUGAGAAACCAGAGGUGGCAAGGCUGGAGCUGUUCCGGCUAGUGUCACCAAGAAACCACUGAGUGUCCGGCUCCGGUGCCUCAGCUUUAUAAGAGCAGAGGGGGCGGGGCUUGGGCUGCCCUCGCGCCCUCCCAUUCUUCCCUCGGGCGCGCGCGGGCCUCUGCAUUCGGGCGCGCGCAUUGCAGCCCGAGGAUGUGGGAUUGCGGUGAGGGUCCCUCAUGCCCAGAGGGCUCAGAGAUGAGCUCCAGAGAUUGGUUCAGGAACUACCACAAGCCUAAAUCUUCAGAACAUAAACCAGGGAGAAGCAGGGCCGGUACAACCUCUUGGGGUCCUUACUCAGGACCUAUGCAACCCAGAGUGUGAGGCCUACUGGCACGGAACUGCAGCAGUCAGCGGGAGGUACCACGCGUAUGGCCCGAGCCCCGGACCUCGGGAGCGGUGGCCUCGAGUGGACCGCGCCCCCUGCCGGCUCGGCGCCUGACCUGACCGCGACCCCAGACUCCUGCAGAGCCGCAGGAGCAGGACACAGAGCAGAGACUGGAGGAGUGGGGCUCGCCAGCACCCCCCGAGAGGAUGAGACUCCAAGGUUCUGGGAUGGGCUAGAAAGAUUUCGCAAUAAGGGCAAGGCUCGGGAAGGCUGAUUUGAGAAUUGGGAUUUGGAGGGGGGGAAUUAUCUGAAGCUUCAGAAUUUAGUUGCCUAUUUGGAAAUAUGGGAAUAACUAAAAUUAGGACGGACGACACCGUUUCGUUUCCUUCCCCUUGUAAUCCAAUUAUUCCUUACAAGGGUACAACCUGAGAGUUUGCCUGGCUACCUUCGGAGACUUCAUUCACCCAUUGUAAACGUGUGGAUUUACAGCCUGGGAGCACACUAAUGCUUCACCUAUGUUAAUCGCUUUAGAGUUUACAAAACAGUCACAUCCUGAUCUUUGAUCCAGACACCCACCCUUGAGUUAAGCGAGUUAACAUUACUGUUCUCAUUUCCUAAGGAGAAAAUUGAAGUUCAGAGAGAGGAGGUAUUUGACCAAAGUCACACCAAAGGUAGGGAGCAAUAAAGUCCUAACUCGGCCAGGGAAGCAAACACCGCAGACCGGGGCGCGGCAUGGAUAUUUCUAGGCUGGGGUCAUCAUGCCGUCAGGGGGGAGAGGAGAAUCCUAGCCCCCGCCCAAGGAUUUAUGCCUGUUCAUGAUGAGUCACCCCCAAGCACGUUUGUCACCCUUUUGUGUUCUUCCUUCACCUCUUCUUGACUUCAUUUUCUUCUUUUCUGAGGGCCAAACUGGAAGGGAACUCAGCCCCGCGGGGCUCCCUAGUUCUUGGAUUCCGGCUUCUGGUAUCCUAUCACCACCCACUGCCCCACUCGCAAGUCCUGAAGCCUGGUGCCUAGACCAAGAGGCUGUGGUCCCGGGACCAUUGGGACUCUGCCGGCCAGCUUCCAGUCCCCACCCCGAGGCUGUGUAAACGUGGGCAAAUUAAGUUUCCCCAUCUAUGACAUGUCUUCUGCAGAUUUCUACGCUUCCUACCUGCUCUGUCAAAUUGGUCCUGAGACCCAUUGCAAAGAAGACUGGGCGCUAGGUGGCAGGGAAUGGCCUGGUCUGGGCCACAUACUGCUGGUUCAGCGGCCUUUUCAUUCUCAGGACUGAACCAUGGACAUUUUACCCCGGGAAGGAAUGGCUGCCGCCGAUGUUAUUUAUUCUGAGGACUCUUCCCCCAAGGGAAUCACCUGAAUGGACCUGAGUUCCGGCUGAGGGUUGGGGGGCAGAUUCCUGACUCUGGCUGUGGCACUGACUCUCUCAAGGGCUGGGGUCAGAGGGGUGCAGCGCAGCAUAGUGGCUGGGUUCCAGCCGCCUGGAGGGCUGCAGGGCUGUCACUGCAGCAGGCGGCUCUUCCGUUGGUACCUCAGACAGUGGAUAUUACUGUGCGCCUGCUGUUUCCAGGAGCCUCCCCCAGCCAAACUAUUCUGCUUCUCUCCCACUUCCCAUCUCUUCCUCAGGCUCUCCGCACCAACCUUGUCCAAGACAGGCUGGCUGUCAGUUUUGUCUGAGGAUGCGAGUUACUUGUCGCCAGCUUCCAGUUGGGUCCGCGCCAAGACAGGUUUUACUUUCAUUUCCCUGGCGCGCGAGUCUCGACUUCUGUAAAGGUCAAGGACAGCUGGGCGCCGGCCCACAGCCAGGGUAGGUCCCGUGGUCUGGACUCGUUCCUUCCAGUUCCCACCAGCCCUGGGCGGUCGGUCUGCAGAGGACUCUGCGCUGUCCCUCGUUGCCUCCUCUGUGUCUUUUUGGAGAGCCUAUGAUUCCGUGGGAGUGGGUGGAGAGUUGGGGGGGGGGGGGGCAAUUGGCUUUAGUUCCUCUGCAGGAUCGCGAAGCGUGCUCUAGAUGCAAACUUCGCUUUGAGCUACGGGCUGCUUCAACAAGCAAAGCAAACCCUGGAGGGGAGACUGGGCUCCGCUCCGCCUGGCUCCAGUGGCUACACCAGCGACUUAGCAGCGAUACAAGGAAUUCCCACCUGAGAGAGCCUUGGCACAAUUCUUAUCAGCCCAGGUGACCCUUGGCGCUCUAGCGCUUAGAGAUCUGACGCUUGAAAACCCCCGCCAAUCAUUCCCCCCCCCCCCCCCAUUUGUUUAAGUACUGAAUUGGCAGCUCGGGAUCUUGCUAGAACACCGUAUCUUCGAAAGUGUGUGCGUGUGUCUGCGCGCGCGCGCGCGUUUGCGUAAGCGAGCGACAAGAGCCCGAGAGUUCCGUUGGGGGGUCAUAGGGUAUACGUUGUAAAAAUAUAUAAAAUUAUACAAAAUUUGCCAGAUGUUGGCAUCUUUUUCUCCCAUUCUACUUUGGUUCGCUUAAUCAUCUCAGAGGAAACACACACACACACACGCACACACGAAUGUAUUUUCAGUUACACGGUGGGAUCUAGAAGAAAACCUCACAGGAGUUCUGCUUCUGGUAAUUUGUUAACGUGAAGUUUCAAACAAGCUGCAGUGAUUGGAUUCAUAUUGAGUAGAAGGAAGGAAGGGAAGGAAGAAACAUCUUUAAAAUCUCACUGUCAAGAAAAGAGAAAGACAAAGAAAAAUUCUAGUAAAUGAUGGCCCACUUUUUUUGUGCCCAAGAAUUCUUAAAGGGUCGGAUUGUAAAUAAACCCCAAAGCAGGGUAAUAAAUGUAUGCAUCCUGAAAUCAUACGUAAAGACA